GGCACGGUGUCCCUGAGUAGUUUCUUGUCAGAGGAAACAUCACCAUGCUCCAAUACUUUCUGUUUUUGAAAAGUAUGAAGAUGUAACUUGGUUUAUUACAUCUCCGAAAGAGACAAGGAUUCAACUGGCUAACAAUUCAUGGAAAUUCAUAAUCGAGUGUAUCAAAUAUAGUACUAUGAAAUAUGAAAUAUGUAAGAAAAUGCAUAUCUUCAAAGUUUUUGGUAAUAGUUUGGUUCUGAGGAUUAGGACAUGAACACCUUGGGCCAUUAUUCUGCCUACUGUAUCUGCUGAACAACAACUGGAAACAAUAAUACAGCCCCGUGGUCCAAAAUAAAGCAUUCUUCGGAAAGCAGCAUUGCCAUCGAGAAGGGGUUUUCUUCUGCCACCACAGUCACUCUCAUGGAGCCACUUGCAUCUGAAACCUAAUAUAAAAACCACGACCUCCAUGUUUUCAUUUGGGGAUGAUAAGGAUGUUCUAUAAUUAG